CACAUGCGUAGAGAGAGAGAGAGAGAGGGAACCGAGCUCUCCCUUUCCCCCACGAUCUCUCUAGAUUUCUCUUUCUAGAUUUUUUCCAAACUUGGGGUUUUGGUGAAGUUUGAGCUCAGGAACGCGUAUAGAACGAUAAAUCGAGCUCGUGCGCGAGAUGAGGCUUGGUGCGCUCGUGGAUCUGAUGGGUUAGUCGGAUUAAAGGUUAGAGGAGAUCCCCCGACAACUUUAACUUGGAAAUCGACGGGCGUUCGGUGACCAAUUUUGAGUAACGAGCCAAACCGAACGACGUUGGCUGCGGGAGUCUGAUUGCAAGUGUUUACAAGCAAUCGAAAGCGUUGUGAAGUGGGUUGUGUUUUACCGAAGUGAUUAGAUUACUUCCACAUCAAAAGGCGCUAGUUCGAGUGUCCCGACCGAGCGGGAGGAUCGCGGCAAGGGCUUGGCGCCCAAGCAGUAUCAGUUGGUAGCUUACUUUCUACUUGCAUUAGCUCCACCCUGUCUUUAUAUUUUGAGAGUAGAUGUUGUAUAGGGUGAGGUUUUGGAGAGUACUUGAUGUAUUUUCAUUAUGAAAAAGAUUGAAAAUCAUGUAUGAAGGUUUA